GACGAACGCUGGCGGCGUGCCUAAUACAUGCAAGUCGAACGCUUCUUUCCUCCCGAGUGCUUGCACUCAAUUGGAAAGAGGAGUGGCGGACGGGUGAGUAACACGUGGGUAACCUACCCAUCAGAGGGGGAUAACACUUGGAAACAGGUGCUAAUACCGCAUAACAGUUUAUGCCGCAUGGCAUAAGAGUGAAAGGCGCUUUCGGGUGUCGCUGAUGGAUGGACCCGCGGUUCAUUAGCUAGUUGGUGAGGUAACGGGUCACCAAGGCCACGAUGCAUAGCCGACCUGAGAGGGUGAUCGGCCACACUGGGACUGAGACACGGCCCAGACUCAUACGGGAGGCAGCAGUAUGGAAUCUUCGGCAAUGGACGGAAGUCUGACCGAGCAACGCCGCGUGAGUGAAGAAGGUUUUCGGAUCGUAAAACUCUGUUGUUAGAGAAGAACAAGGACGUUAGUAACUGAACGUCCCCUGACGGUAUCUAACCAGAAAGCCACGGCUAACUACGUGCCAGCCGCCGCCGUAA
rnacentral:rRNA from 1 species